rnacentral:lncRNA from 10 species
AGCUCCGGGCAGCGACCCGCGAUGCGGCAUCCUUCCGUCCGGUCGGAGCCCUCCUAGCCCUCAGCGCGUCUAUUCCUAGCUUCGGUCCCCGCAGCCAUAUAAGCAAUGACACCCUCGCCGACUCGCCUGCCAGCUUGGCCGCCUCCCUGCAGAGGGCUGACGCUUCUCCAGAAGUUGUAAGAAAAGGAGGGAAAGCAGGCCAACCUCGAGGAUCUCCCCAGCCUUGGCGUUCAGGUGCUGAGGAGAUCGUCGAGAUAUAAGCUCCAUGAGAACAGCCACCUUGUUUACCUUGUUCAUGGAUACAGAACAGUGCCUGGUGCUCAAUAAAUGAACAGUGAGUGAAUAAGUGAGUGUUGAGUCAUCUAAGUGAGCUUAGAUGAACUGACAAUGAGACUGUGCACAAUGAAGAGAAAGGAGGACUCUUGAGGAAUUCCACCAGCUUGAAGAUGGCUGAAGAAAGAUGACAGAAAGCAAUCAGAGGGAUGGAGGGCAAACUAAGAAAGCAGAGUCAAGAGUAGGAAGAUUGGGAAGUGGUAGACAACAUUAGGAAAUACUGCAGAAAAACC